UUCUGUGACUCGGAAACGAUAGGGGACACAACUCUUGAAGUGGUCCAUGUGGCAACUAUUAAAUUCAAAGGCUUGAAUUGAGGCAGUGCAUUUGGUGGCGUCCAGGAGAGGAGAGUGUGACAACACUGUGUUACACUGUGUGGCUAUUCAAGUGAACUGAAAAGUGCUCGUGUUGCCUCAAGGAGAUCGAGUGAUAGAUGAAGAUUGCAAAGCCACGGAUCAUCAUUCAAGUUUUGAGCCUGAAGGUUUUCUGAAUGCAGGCUGUUUUUAUUUAGGUAGUACUCAGUGAUGCAAGCUAGAGUAGUUGGCCGUCUUCCAAGGUGGUCGGGAAGGAACAAGUGGGGAAUUGGAUUUAAAAAACACAUAACAUCUUUCUCUCCAGAUUGAGGAGGUGAGCUCCAGGUGUUAAUCCCUGCUGACCCUAAAGCCACUGAGGCUAGCAGACGGCUAAAUGCAUCAAAUAAGCCAAAUCAAUAAGUCACCUAUUUACAAAGUUAAAGACCUGAUAAUCACUGUUGGAGUGAUUUAAGAAAUCACUUUUAUAAAAUAUAAGAAAGUCACAUGAUUACAUCUUAAAACAUGAUGACCCAAAUCAAAUAUUUAUUUAUUUACUGUUUUGGACCUUUUGCAAAGCGUUCAACUUCUAUAAAAUUGCAUUACGUUGUGUGUGUAAGUUCUUAUUUCACAUGUUGGGACACUGGUGAUGUUUCCGAGCUUGUUCUUAUAAGUAUUUGAUUUACGGAUGUAUAUUAAUGGCAUAAAAAUUGACAACGCUGAAACAAUCCCUGGCAUGAAUGUAGACGAGUUACUUUACGUUCCACCUGGAGCUGGUUUGAAUGAGCUUUACAUCCCGUCAUGAAUCCGCGUACAGAGCACUCGCUCAACAAAAAGGUGUCACGGGGAUUACAAAAAGUGUCCAGUAAUGAAUUAGUAAACAAUGGAGGGGGGUAUUUGCCGCUUUCAGCUGUGCAGAUGGUGGAUUUUUCUGCCUUUGACAUAAAAUAACUUUUCCAUGAAUCUUUCUGCAGAGGAGUAUCAUAGCAUCACCAUUACUAUGUCUUUUGAAGAAUAAUACCAAUAAAUGACUGCGUCCUUGUUUAACACACAGUAGCUUGUGCGUGUCCUGUGUAAGAUUGUCACUUUUCUUCGCUGUGUUUUCCAAUCCUACAUUUUUGCUUUGAAAGUUUUUGAGUUGUUGCUGUGUAGAAGUAAAGUGAAGGAGUUUUGUGUGCUCUCUAAAAGUAUCCUGUCCAUUAUCGUGUGAA
ensembl:lncRNA